rnacentral:rRNA from 1 species
CGUAGGGUGCGAGCGUUAAUCGGAAUUACUGGGCGUAAAGCGUGCGCAGGCGGUUAUAUAAGACAGAUGUGAAAUCCCCGGGCUCAACCUGGAACCUGCAUUUGUGACUGUAUAGCUAGAGUACGGUAGAGGGGGGAUGGAAUUCCGCGUGUAGCAGUGAAAUGCGUAGAUAUGCGGAGGAACACCGAUGGCGAAGGCAAUCCCCUGGACCUGUACUGACGCUCAUGCACGAAAGCGUGGGGAGCAAACAGGAUUAGAUACCCUGGUAGUCCACGCCCUAAACGAUGUCAACUGGUUGUUGGGUCUUCACUGACUCAGUAACGAAGCUAACGCGUGAAGUUGACCGCCUGGGGAGUACGGCCGCAAGGUUG